rnacentral:rRNA from 1 species
UGCCAGCCGCCGCGGUAAGACGAACCGUCCAAACGUUAUUCGGAAUUAUUGGGCUUAAAGGGUGCGUAGGCGGCUUAGUAGGUGGGGUGUGAAAUCCCUCGGCUCAACCGAGGAACUGCGCCCCAAACCACUAGGCUAGAGGGAGACAGAGGUAAGCGGAACUGAUGGUGGAGCGGUGAAAUGCGUUGAUAUCAUCAGGAACACCAGUGGCGAAAGCGGCUUACUGGGUCUCUUCUGACACUGAGGCACGAAAGCUAGGGUAGCGAACGGGAUUAGAUA